rnacentral:tRNA from 1 species
GCCAUCUUAGCUCAGUUGGUAGAGCAACUGAUUCGUAAUCAGUAGGUCGCCGGUUCGAUUCCGGCAGAUGGCUCCA